rnacentral:tRNA from 33 species
GGAAUCGUAACUUAAAGGUAAAGUGUUUGCUUGAUAAGCAAAAAAUAAUGGUUCAAUUCUAUUCGAUUUCA